rnacentral:lncRNA from 1 species
UUUAUAAGAAAUUUUGCAUUUCGAUCCUUUCAGACGCACAAAAACCUAGCCAUAACCCUCCUGUAUCCGACGCUGUAUCCUCCCCCUCUCACCCCACCCACCACAACAAAAACAAAAACCAAACUCCUGUAUUUAUGAUCUUUUUUAUUUUUUUAAAAAAAAUUUGGAACUUCAAUCCCAUAUUGCACACAUAUUAGCCAAGCAUAUCUAUAUCUAAUACAUAUCCGACAAGGAAAUGCCAUAAAAGUAUCUAUACUUUGUAACAUCUAAGAAGCCUGCUUCUACAAAGUCAAAGCACAUAACACUAGUACCAACUAAUCUAUGGAAUCAAUUUUGUAAUAGUUCCUCCUUUCCUUAUUUAUAAACUUUCUUUCUUUCGUAUUUGUAAUCAACAAACAAGAGCUAUCUGAGUUAGCAUCUAAUUGUCAACACACUAAAUCAACAACAUAGAGAUAUCGAGAA